AUUGAACGCUGGCGGCAGGCUUAACACAUGCAAGUCGAGCGAGCGGCGGAAUGGUGGGCAAGGGCUGGGAAACUGCCUGAUGGAGGGGGAUAACUACGGGAAACGGUAGCUAAUACCGCAUACAAUCAGAUGUGCACAGAUGGGAUUAGCAAGUAGGUGGGGUAAUGGCUAACCUAGGCGACGAUCCCUAGCUGGUCUGAGAGGAUGACCAGCCACACUGGAACUGAGACACGGUCCAGACUCCUACGGGAGGCAGCAGUGGGGAAUAUUCGGCAAUGGGCGCAAGCCUGAUGCAGCCAUGCCGCGUGUGUGAAGAAGGCCUUCGGGUUGUAAAGCACUUUCAGCGAGGAGGCGGUACUCGCAGAAGAAGCACCGGCUAACUCCGUGCCAGCAGCCGCGGUAAUAC
rnacentral:rRNA from 1 species